UACAGAGGGUGCGAGCGUUGUUCGGAAUUACUGGGCGUAAAGCGCGCGCAGGCGGAUCCUGCAAGUCCGGAGUGAAAUCUCACCGCUCAACGGCGAGGCUGCUUUGGAUACUGCGGAUCUGGAGACCGGUAGAGGCUGGUAGAAUUGCAGGUGUAGCGGUGGAAUGCGUAGAUAUCGGGAGGAACACCAGUGGCGAAGGCGAUCUUCUGGACGGAUACUGACGCUGAGGCGCGAAAGCUAGGGGAGCAAACGGGG
rnacentral:rRNA from 1 species